AAAUAAAUAAAUAAAAAAAAUAAAGGAAAGUGAAAGUGAGACCGUCGAUGGGAAGUCAGUCCCUGGUUGUCUCUUUAAAAUCAGCCAGUCAAUAAUCCUACAUCCGACACUCCACUUCCCAGGCCUGAGCAAAACCCCAUGACUCCAGCUCACUGUUCUUAAGCCACAACCGCCCUCACCACCGUCACUCUCACCACCGCAACGCACGACAUUUACACUGUUGGCCUGGUCAAUCUCAUCAUCAAUUUCUGUGAUCGCACAUGGGCGAGCAAACCCACCACCAUCCACAACCCCUUCCUCAACCCCAACCCCAACCCCGGCCUCAGCCCCAAUCCCAAUCCCAAUCCCAAUCCCAAUCCCAAAUCCAAGCCCAGGUACAAACGCAGCCGCAGCCCCACCAUGACCCUAUCACUUCCUCUACCGCCACCACUGAAUUAAUCAGUAUUCCUCGGCAAACCAUCUCUCCUCCAGCCAAAAUUCCCCCUUCGCGGCCUCGCAAAGUCCGUAAACUCUCUCCCGACGAUGCUGCAACCACCGGUAACGACACCAAUUCUUCGCAAAUAACCGCCACCACCAGCGAUCCCCCCCAAACCACAGCGAAAUCCGCCAAAAUCAAAGCCACCCAACAGCGAGCCCUUGCCGUCGUACCCCAGCGCAUCAUUGCGAGAUCGUUGUCCUGCGAAGGCGAGGUGGAGAACGCGAUUCGCCAUCUUCGCAACAUCGAUCCACUUCUCGCCUCUUUAAUCGACCUUCACCCUCCCCCUACCUUCGAUUCUUUCCACACUCCUUUUCUUGCCUUGACUCGAAGCAUUAUCUACCAGCAGCUCGCAUUUAAAGCUGGUACUUCAAUCUACACUCGCUUUAUUGCUCUGUGCGGGGGAGAGGCCGAUGUCCUCCCGGAGACAAUACUUGCUUUGACACCCCAACAACUGCGACAAAUUGGGGUUUCGGGGCGUAAAGCUAGUUAUCUUCAUGAUCUUGCUAGAAAGUAUCACAAUGGGAUAUUGUCCGAUUCCGCAAUUGUAAAUAUGGAUGAUAAGUCCCUUUUCACUAUGCUUACUAUGGUUAAUGGGAUUGGUUCUUGGUCAGUGCAUAUGUUUAUGAUUUUUUCGCUGCAUAGACCUGAUGUGUUGCCCAUUAACGAUCUUGGGGUGCGCAAAGGGGUGCAGUUGCUGUACAAUUUGGAAGAAUUGCCCCGUCCGUCGCAGAUGGAUCAAUUGUGCGAGAAAUGGAGGCCGUACAGGUCAGUGGCGUCUUGGUAUCUUUGGAGAUUUGUGGAGGCAAAGGGGUCUCCUUCAAGUGCUGUGGCAGUGGCAACUGGUGCUAGUAUGACACAGCAACAACAGGAGGAACAGCAGCACCAGCUGCAACCUCAGCUGUUUGACCCAAUUAAUAGCAUUAUCAACCUCGGGGCCUCUGCUUGGGGACAAUGAUUGGGACUUGGGAUGAAUUAGUUGAUAGCCUUUAUCAAGCAAUCUGUCUGAGAAGUGUUUACAGAGCGGUGCAAAUAAGUUACUGGUUACUCAUAGUAGGUUGGACGUGCGAAUAGUUUAGAGAGAGGUGUAUUUUGUCUAGCAAACAUGCUUCUAAAUUAAAUAAGACUACAUGUGUUGAAGUUCUUUUGUCUUUGUUAAGAGAAUGUUUGUUAUCAAACUCUUGCAAGACAUUAUAGAGUUCAAAGAGCUUCGCUGUUUUUGCCUUUAUUGUGGUUUGGGUUUUUGUGCUCUGCAUUACAAUUUGAAUCAGGCUUCUAAUGUGACAAGCAAUUGAGGCUGUAUCAGUGGGGAAAUAGGUUUUUGCAUUUUGUUACACUAUCACACGGAUCAGGUUGCAUGGGCGAAUGUCACUCUCCAACAAUUGACAAAAAUGGAGGUGGGGAGAGAGAAAGAAUCGCAAGGAGCCAUCUUUAAGUUGUGUUGGAGUGGCAACUUAAGCAUGGGGAAGCUUGGCUACUAUUCCCAGUUGAUUCAUGAUUAAGUGCUGAUACCUGUGUUUUCCUCAGUUGAUUCAUCGUGGUUUAAUUUUUAUUAAUUUGGUACCUUUGUUUUCUUCCAUUAACAAAUAUGGUUCAAAUUGUUAUUUACUAUUAAAUGAUGUUAGUGUGGUGCUAAUGUGGCAACACAUGAGCGACACAUUAAUGCCACAUAAGUGUCAUGUGGGUGUUAGGAAAGCACCAUGUCCAUCGUGUAUUGCUACAUAAACGUCACAUGUUUGUCAUAUCAUCGUUGUUUGAUGAUAACUAAUUGCUUGGAUAUAUUUGUUAAUGGAGGAAAAUAUUACAGUUCCU
rnacentral:misc_RNA from 1 species